AUUUUUCCCUUAUGACUCUCUGCUUGUUUGUGUGUUUUGGCUUGGUUAUGUGUGUCCCACAUUAUUUUGCACCAAGACUUCAGUUACUGAUUCAGAGAUUUUAUCAUCUCAAUCCCAUGUGCAAGGUCCAGUAUUUUGGCCCCUGGAUAGUCACCUCUUAUCUACCUCAGGCAGGCAGCCUAAAUAGUAGCACAAAAUGUUCAAAAGUCAAAUGUUACAUUAAAAAAAAAUUAAAACUUUGCCGUCAAAGACUAUAUUUCCAAAUGAGGACAAAGGGAACAGAAAAUACUAAUAAUAUGAUGUACACUUUAAAUGCUUACUACAUGCAAAGUACAUCUCCCCCUCAGACAUAGUCAAAAAUAGUCCAGCACCCAGAGACUAAAUGACCUAGUAAAUGCAAUGCCCCCAGGCUGCCUUCCUGCUUCCAGCCUGGCUCAUACAGCUAUCAUCAGCAAGAACAAUUGUUUGUGGAAGAUACCUGACAUACCCAAUGCCUCCAGCUUCAAGCACAGACCAACUGUUGCUGACAGGAAGGAAAAAUAACAACACAGUUCAUUUGGAAUGACAAAAGAACUUCAAAGAAACCAGAAAAAAAGAUGUAGAGGAAACAGACCUUAAACUAGAUUAUGAGGUCUUCCUUCUUGCUGUCGGCCCUUCUACUCAGUAUUUUAAGCAACACACAAGAUCUACUAGUGAAUUUCUUCAGAAUCCAGUUAACUUUAAAAGCAACAUGGAGAGACUAAAAUUUGGGGGAUAGGAUCUUUCCCAAUCUCUAGAAAUGGCUAAAAAAAAUUUGUGUCUGUCCUGGCUGGACUUGGAUACUUUGCAUUACUGAUGAUCAUCAUCACUUACUUGCCAGGGGAAAGACUUACUGAAAGAAGGUCCUUGUGAUCUUUCACACAUAUUUGUGUGGAAAUGGAGAAGGAAAUCAAGUUUUGAAGGACUUUUUGGAAAUAGCAAUGCAGCUGAACAAGAAGUGCUAUCAUUGUAUCUGGACAUAAACAACCAUCCAGAUAGUGUUGUUUGUCUUUCGUAUUUAAAGAUGGUCAAUGACAUCACAAACUGAUUUCUUGAUCGGCAUGAAUCAGAUUUAAGAGAAGCAGAGUUGCACAAAAUUGUCAGCCUCGAUCUCUUUUCCAAUCAUCAAAGUUCAGUGGCAAGAAAAAAGCCAGGACGACUGGCAAUGGCCUUGGAUGCAGUGGAAGACCUUGACAUCCUCCUAACUCACCAUUCUGAGUUCUGAGAUCAUUACCUUCAACCUGGUUUGCCCAUUUAUUGACCAGGUAUGGCCCCUGCAUAAACUAGCUUGUUAUGCUUGUUAGAGCCACAAGUGAGAGUUGAGUGACAGGUAAAGACCACGGGUAGAUGAGCAGCCCUGAAAAAGGCUCAGCAAAUCCUCAAAUGUGAUAAUACCAGACAGGGAAGAUCAUGGGAAUUUCAGUAUUAUCAACAACUUUGUUGAAGGAAUCAUUUAAAUUUGGUGUAUUUGUUUUUGAGUUGGUAUUUGAGCCCAAUAAACUCUCAAAACUCA